UACGUAGGGUGCGAGCGUUAAUCGGAAUUACUGGGCGUAAAGCGUGCGCAGGCGGUGGCUCAAGCCAGGCGUGAAAUCCCCGGGCUUAACCUGGGAAUGGCAUUUGGGACUGCAAGGCUUGAGUGCGGCAGAGGAGACUGGAAUUCCUGGUGUAGCGGUGAAAUGCGCAGAUAUCAGGAGGAACACCGGUGGCGAAGGCGGGUCUCUGGACAGUUCCUGACACUGAGGCACGAAGGCCAGGGGAGCAAACGGG
rnacentral:rRNA from 1 species